UGGGCAGGAAAGUGUCUUUAAAAAGCACUCAUGAACAUGUCAGUAACAAAAUCUACUGAAGUGUGUGAGUCUGCUGUCAUCACCACCACCACUGAGUGUACAGGGAGGAAUCUUACUUCUGUUCAACAAUGAAGCUACUGGUCCUCAUUUUGUGUUUCGUAGUCAUCAGUUAUGCCCUUCCAAUCUCUCAAGAAUCCGGAGAAGAUCGAGUCAAACGUUCAGGGAGUUAUGAGAUGAGUCGCUAUUUGCUUCAGUAUCCGUCACUCUACUCCAGCUUUCAACCAAACCAAGGCUUGUUGCUGCAAAUGUUGUUGGCAAAUCUCGCAAGGGUUGUUCCUCCACCUCCUCCACCUCCAGCAGGAAAAUGAGAAUAUAUUCUUUACACCAUAUACUUUAUGAUUAUUACUUUUUCUAUUUGUUUCUUUCUCCAACUUACUUGAAAAAAUAUUUUCUUUCUUUUUAAUAUAACAAUAAAAUAUAAAGAGAUCAGAUUUAAUAGCUUGUUCCAAAAUGGAUGAUUGCUAACAUCAAUUUUGAUCAUAUGAAUAAUUAACUAAUUUUAUGGUUAAGUUUACAAACAGACAUCACAAAUUCUGCUGUCUCAAAACUUUUUUUUAACCCUUUUAACCCUAAGCCUUGGACCCCCCCCCCCCCCCCCCCCACACACACACACACACACACACACACACACAUCCAUUAUUUCGACCACAAAUAGGUCAGAAAAUGUGAAAUAGUCCUUUUGUCCAUUUUUCCAGAAGCUAUACCAUAUUACUUAACAAUGGCAAUCAUUUACAAUUCACUACAUGUUAUAAUAAUGUUUUAAAGAACGGUUUAAUUCCAAAAUACAGUAACUCAAAAAGCACUGCAGUGAACUGUUCAUAUUAAAACACAGUGUACAAUACUUACUUCUGUCAGAUAUUGUUCUAGUUGAUUGUAACUAAGGAAAUGAACAA